rnacentral:rRNA from 1 species
GGCGCCACAAGUGGCAACCGCUUUUAUUGGGCCUAGAGCGUCCGUAGCUGGUUUAACAAAUCUUUUGUGAAAUUGUCAGGCUUAACUUGACAGCGUGCAGAAGACACUAUCAGACUUGGGACCGGGAGGAGUUAGAGGUAUUCUGGGGGGGAGCGGUAAAAUGUUAUAAUCCCCAGAGGACCACCUGUGGCGAAGGCGUCUAACUAGAACGGAUCCGACAGUGAGGGACGAAGGCCAGGGGAGCAAAAC